rnacentral:lncRNA from 1 species
GCGGCCCCGGCUGACGUCACCGGAGGAUGUGGCAGAGUCGGCGCGGGAGAGCUGGGCCGGGAGGCGCCGGAAGCGGCGGCCGGGGAUCCGCUGCCACUGCAGCCUACACCCUUCCCGGCCCUCGGUGCUUGUCUUUUCUUUGGCGUUCCUGCGCCCCCUGACCCGCGGUCCUGCAGUCCUGCUCCCGUGACGUGCCCUCCCUCCUUCCGUUCCCCGUUUCCCCUUCACUACCCAGGGCUGGAGCCUGAACCUGGCGGGGCCCCCCGUGAAUGGAAGAGCCUGGGCCACGCGAAGGUGGACCCCACUCAGCCUCCAGCCGUGCCCUCCACGCCCCAGACACCGCCGUCUUCGGAGGCGACUCCGCGGUCGUGUGGACGGGGUCCCAUUUGGACUCCGGGGUCUGCAGGAUCGGCAGGAAGGACUUUGCUCUCUGCUGCUGGGCGGGGAGGGGUACGCUAUCUGCCGGGACUCCCUAACCCUUUAGAAGGAGCAAGUGCGUCCAAAUGGUUUGAAAGUGGACCUUUAUUGUUUUCCAGGAGUAAGAAGAUAGAACAGUUGACCAGUUUUGUUUGUAAAACUUCUUUCCUUGCCUCGGACUUGUGCUAUAAAGUGACCAGGGCGUAGUGAGUACAGUUAGUACCGCACACGUUAGCACGCUCGACCUUAACGAUCUUUUUAUAGAGACAAUAAACCUGCAGCGUUUCAUGCCACGUCUUUGUACGCAUCGGAUGUCUCUCCGUGUAGUUACUAGGUGAAAUCCUCUUGGCGUGCGCAAAUUAGGUUAAAAAAAUAGCUGUCAAACCUGAGACAGGAGUUGGAGGAGUAGAGGGUGGCGCUUGUUAAGUGAAACAUUUAACCAGGAAUGGUAUUGUGUGCCAUCCUGUAUUAAACAAUGUAUGGACAGAGUGGAACAACAGCAAAGCAAAAAAUAAAAAUUUUUUAAAAAAAGUGAUCAUGGGCUGUGGCUAAAGAGUGCUUUAGAUGGAUUCUUCUCUUCCACAAAUCCAUUAUCCAGAACUGCUGCUGCCUACCAUCCCAUGCCCUGGAAAGUGACAGUGCUAAAUGAAGGGAAGAGAGGGUCCAGGGGGCACACCAAGUAGACCUUCC